GACGAACGCUGGCGGCGUGCUUAACACAUGCAAGUCGAACGGAAAGGCCCUUCGGUGUACUCGAGUGGCGAACGGGUGAGUAACACGUGGGUGAUCUGCCCUGCACUUUGGGAUAAGCCUGGGAAACUGGGUCUAAUACCGAAUAGGACCACGCGCUUCAUGGUGUGUGGUGGAAAGCUUUUGCGGUGUGGGAUGGGCCCGCGGCCUAUCAGCUUGUUGGUGGGGUAAUGGCCUACCAAGGCGACGACGGGUAGCCGGCCUGAGAGGGUGACCGGCCACACUGGGACUGAGAUACGGCCCAGACUCCUACGGGAGGCAGCAGUGGGGAAUAUUGCACAAUGGGCGCAAGCCUGAUGCAGCGACGCCGCGUGAGGGAUGACGGCCUUCGGGUUGUAAACCUCUUUCACCAGGGACGAAGCGUAAGUGACGGUACCUGGAGAAGAAGCACCGGCCAACUACGUG
rnacentral:rRNA from 1 species